rnacentral:rRNA from 1 species
AUUGAACGCUGGCGGCAUGCCUUACACAUGCAAGUCGAACGGCAGCACGGACUUCGGUCUGGUGGCGAGUGGCGAACGGGUGAGUAAUGCAUCGGAACGUGCCAUUGAGUGGGGGAUAACGUAGCGAAAGUUGCGCUAAUACCGCAUAUUCUGUGAGCAGGAAAGCAGGGGACCGCAAGGCCUUGCGCUCUUUGAGCGGCCGAUGUCAGAUUAGCUAGUUGGUGAGGUAAAAGGGCUUACCAAGGCGACGAUCUGUAGCGGGUCUGAGAGGAUGAUCCGCCACACUGGAACUGAGACACGGUCCAGACUCCUACGGAGGCAGCAGUGGGAAUUUGGACAAUGGGGCAACCCUGAUCCAGCCAUGCCGCGUGAGUGAAGAAGGCC